UACACCAGGGCUUUUCUGUUGAUUGACGGU
rnacentral:piRNA from 2 species